rnacentral:rRNA from 1 species
GACGAACGCUGGCGGCGUGCUUAACACAUGCAAGUCGAACGGUGAAGCGCCUUCCUUUUUGGUGGGUGUGGAUGAGUGGCGAACGGGUGAGUAACACGUGAGUAACCUGCCCCCUUCUUCUGGAUAACCGCAUGAAAGUGUGGCUAAUACGGGAUAUUCUGGGUCUGUCGCAUGAUGGGUCUGGGAAAGAUAUUGUUUCGGUGGGGGAUGGGCUCGCGGCCUAUCAGCUUGUUGGUGGGGUGAUGGCCUACCAAGGCGGUGACGGGUAGCCGGCCUGGGAGGGUGGACGGUCACACUGGGACUGAGACACGGCCAAGACUCCUACGGGAGGCAGCAGUGGGGAAUAUUGCACAAUGGGCGCAAGCCUGAUGCAGCGACGCCGCGUGAGGGAUGGAGGCCUUCGGGUUGUGAACCUCUUUCGCCAGUGAAGCAGGCCUGCCUCGUUUGUGGGUGGGUUGACGGUAGCUGGAGAAGAAGCGCCGGCUAACUACGUG